GUNGGGAACUGAAACAUCUAAGUACCCCGAGGAAAAGAAAUCAACCGAGAUUCCCCCAGUAGCGGCGAGCGAACGGGGAGCAGCCCAGAGCCUGAAUCAGUGUGUGUGUUAGUGGAAGCGUCUGGAAAGGCGCGCGAUACAGGGUGACAGCCCCGUACACAAAAAUGCACAUGCUGUGAGCUCGAUGAGUAGGGCGGGACACGUGGUAUCCUGUCUGAAUAUGGGGGGACCAUCCUCCAAGGCUAAAUACUCCUGACUGACCGAUAGUGAACCAGUACCGUGAGGGAAAGGCGAAAAGAACCCCGGCGAGGGGAGUGAAAAAGAACCUGAAACCGUGUACGUACAAGCAGUGGGAGCACGCUUAGGCGUGUGACUGCGUACCUUUUGUAUAAUGGGUCAGCGACUUAUAUUCUGUAGCAAGGUUAACCGAAUAGGGGAGCCG
rnacentral:rRNA from 1 species